GACGAACGCUGGCGGCGUGCUUAACACAUGCAAGUCGAACGGAGUGGCGAACGGGUGAGUAACACGUGGGUGACCUGCCCUGCACUCCGGGAUAAGCCUGGGAAACUGGGUCUAAUACCGGACAGUGUGGGAUGGGGCUGCGGCCACUCAGCUUGUUGGUGGGGUAAUGGCCUACGAAGGCGGGGACGGGUAGCCGGCCUGAGAGGGUGGACGGCCACAGUGGUACUGGGGCACGACCCAUGCUGCUACGGGAGGCAGGAGUGGGGGAUAUUGCACGAUGGGCGGAGGCCGGAUGGAGCGACGCCGCGUGGGAGAUGACGGCCUUCGGGUUGGAAUCUCCUUUCACCAUCGACGCGGUAGAUGGAGAGGAAGCACCGGCUAACUACGUGCCAGCCGCCGCGGUAAUUC
rnacentral:rRNA from 1 species